rnacentral:rRNA from 1 species
GACGAGGGGUCCUAGCGUUGUUCGGAAUUAUUGGGCGUAAAGCGUAUGUAGGCUGCCACGCAAGUCAGUUGUGAAAGCCCCGGGCUCAACCCGGGAAGUGCUUCUGAUACUGCAUGGCUUGAAUACUGGAGAGGGUAGUGGAAUUCCUGGUGUAGUGGUGAAAUACGUAGAUAUCAGGAGGAACAUCGGUGGCGAAGGCGGCUACCUGGCCAUGUAUUGACGCUGAGAUACGAAAGCGUGGGGAGCAAACAGGAUUAGAACCUACCGUAGU